AGCUGAGUGGCGCAGCGGAAGCGUAAGUUCAUAACUCCAUUCACCUUCACAUGCAACUCGGUUCUAACAUUCACAUAGGCGCCGGGCUCAUAACCCGGAGGGCGACGGAUCGAAACCGUUCUCAGCUA